AGGACGAACGCUGGCGGCGUGCCUAACACAUGCAAGUCGAACGAGGUCCAACCGGUGGCAACACUGGUGAAGACCGAGUGGCGAACGGGUGAGUAACACGUGAGCAACCUGCCUCGAAGACUGGGAUAACCCCGGGAAACCGGAGCUAAUACCGGAUACCCCCACCGGGUCGCAUGGCCUGGUGAGGAAAUGGAUUCCGCUUUGAGAGGGGCUCGCGGCCUAUCAGCUUGAUGGUGGGUAAUGGGCCGUACCAUGGCACCGACGGGUAGCUGGUCUGAGAGGACGAUCAGCCACACUGGGACUGAGACACGGCCCAGACUCCUACGGGAGGCAGCAGGUGGGGAAUCUUGCGCAAUGGGCGAAAGCCUGACGCAGCAACGCCGCGUGUGGGACGAAGGCCUUCUGGGUUGUAAACCACUUUCAGCAGGGACGAUUGUGACGGUACCUGCAGAAGAACGCCCCGGCCAACUACGCGCCAGCAGCCGCGGU
rnacentral:rRNA from 1 species